rnacentral:rRNA from 1 species
AACGCAUGCAAGUCGAGGGGCAGCAUGGUCUUUUCUUGCUAAGGCCGAUGGCGACCGGCGCACGGGUGAGUAACACGUAUCCAACCUGCCGUCUACUCUUGGACAGCCUUCUGAAAGGAAGAUUAAUACAAGAUGGCAUCAUGAGUCCGCAUGUUCACAUGAUUAAAGGUAUUCCGGUAGACGAUGGGGAUGCGUUCCAUUAGAUAGUAGGCGGGGUAACGGCCCACCUAGUCUUCGAUGGAUAGGGGUUCUGAGAGGAAGGUCCCCCACAUUGGAACUGAGACACGGUCCAAACUCCUACGGGAGGCAGCAGUGAGGAAUAUUGGUCAAUGGGCGAGAGCCUGAACCAGCCAAGUAGCGUGAAGGAUGACUGCCCUAUGGGUUGUAAACUUCUUUUAUAAAGGAAUAAAGUCGGGUAUGGAUACCCGUUUGCAUGUACUUUAUGAAUAAGGAUCGGCUAACUCCGUGCCAGCAGCCGCGGUAAUACGGAGGAUCCGAGCGUUAUCCGGAUUUAUUGGGUUUAAAGGGAGCGUAGAUGGAUGUUUAAGUCAGUUGUGAAAGUUUGCGGCUCAACCGUAAAAUUGCAGUUGAUACUGGAUAUCUUGAGUGCAGUUGAGGCAGGCGGAAUUCGUGGUGUAGCGGUGAAAUGCUUAGAUAUCACGAAGAACUCCGAUUGCGAAGGCAGCCUGCUAAGCUGCAACUGACAUUGAGGCUCGAAAGUGUGGGUAUCAAACAGGAUUAGAUACCCUGGUAGUCCACACGGUAAACGAUGAAUACUCGCUGUUUGCGAUAUACUGCAAGCGGCCAAGCGAAAGCGUUAAGUAUUCCACCUGGGGAGUACGCCGGCAACGGUGAAACUCAAAGGAAUUGACGGGGGCCCGCACAAGCGGAGGAACAUGUGGUUUAAUUCGAUGAUACGCGAGGAACCUUACCCGGGCUUAAAUUGCAGAUGAAUUACGGUGAAAGCCGUAAGCCGCAAGGCAUCUGUGAAGGUGCUGCAUGGUUGUCGUCAGCUCGUGCCGUGAGGUGUCGGCUUAAGUGCCAUAACGAGCGCAACCCUUGUUGUCAGUUACUAACAGGUUCCGCUGAGGACUCUGACAAGACUGCCAUCGUAAGAUGUGAGGAAGGUGGGGAUGACGUCAAAUCAGCACGGCCCUUACGUCCGGGGCUACACACGUGUUACAAUGGGGGGUACAGAGGGCCGCUACCACGCGAGUGGAUGCCAAUCCCCAAAACCUCUCUCAGUUCGGACUGGAGUCUGCAACCCGACUCCACGAAGCUGGAUUCGCUAGUAAUCGCGCAUCAGCCACGGCGCGGUGAAUACGUUCCCGGGCCUUGUACACACCGCCCGUCAAGCCAUGGGAGCCGGGGGUACCUGAAGUGCGUAACCGCGAGGAGCGCCCUAGGGUAAAACUGGUGACUGGGGCUAAGUC